rnacentral:rRNA from 1 species
GUGGGAUUAGCUAGUUGGUGAGGUAAUGGCUCACCAAGGCGACGAUCCCUAGCUGUUCUGAGAGGAUGAUCAGCCACACUGGGACUGAGACACGGCCCAGACUCCUACGGGAGGCAGCAGUGGGGAAUAUUGGACAAUGGGGGCAACCCUGAUCCAGCCAUGCCGCGUGUGUGAAGAAGGCCUUCGGGUUGUAAAGCACUUUCAGUAGGGAGGAAAGGUAAUAACUUAAUACGUUAUUACUGUGACGUUACCUACAGAAGAAGGACCGGCUAACUCCGUGCCAGCAGCCGCGGUAAUACGGAGGGUCCGAGCGUUAAUCGGAAUUACUGGGCGUAAAGCGUGCGCAGGCGGUUUGUUAAGCAAGAUGUGAAAGCCCCGGGCUCAACCUGGGAAUUGCAUUUUGAACUGGCAAACUAGAGUCUUGUAGAGGGGGGUAGGAUUCCAGGUGUAGCGGUGAAAUGCGUAGAGAUCUGGAGGAAUACCGGUGGCGAAGGCGGCCCCCUGGACAAAGACUGACGCUCAGGCACGAAAGCGUGGGGAGCAAACAGGAUUAGACACCCUGGUAGUCCACGCCGUAAACGAUGUC